CAGCACGACAUUGGUAAUCUUGGAAACUUUACCCAUAUGGGAACUUCUGUUGGAAAUUCUUCAGAGAAAUCAAAGUCAGGUGUCCAUUGUUUGAGUAUCAUGGGCCUAUUGGCAAUGGAGUAUGGACCAGCACACAUAAUCUCUUUGGCAUCAGCCACAUUCUUGAAUUUCACAAUGUAGUACCCUUCAUCAUGAUAGAACAAAUUUGGUUCGGGGACUUGAGACCAGUGGUGACUAAUGAAUCUUCUCAUUGCAUU
rnacentral:lncRNA from 1 species